GUACGUAGUUGAUCAGUGCUCAGAACGACGCUGGCGGCAGGCUUAACACAUGCAAGUCGAACGCCCCGCAAGGGGAGUGGCAGACGGGUGAGUAACGCGUGGGAACGUACCUUUCAGUUCGGAAUAACUCAGGGAAACUUGUGCUAAUACCGGAUACGCCCGCAAGGGGAAAGAUUUAUCGCUGAAAGAUCGGCCCGCGUUGGAUUAGCUAGUUGGUGGGGUAAAGGCCUACCAAGGCGACGAUCCAUAGCUGGUCUGAGAGGAUGAUCAGCCACACUGGGACUGAGACACGGCCCAGACUCCUACGGGAGGCAGCAGUGGGGAAUUUUGGACAAUGGGCGCAAGCCUGAUCCAGCCGUGCCGCGUGAGUGAAGAAGGCCUUCGGGUUGUAAAGCUCUUUCAGCCGGGAAGAAAACGCAUGGGUUAAUACCCUGUGUGGAUGACGGUACCGGAAUAAGAAGCACCGGCUAACUACGUG
rnacentral:rRNA from 1 species